rnacentral:misc_RNA from 1 species
ACAAACAUCGUCCGCUGGACUUUGUUGUUCCACAACCCAGGUGGAAAUGUUUAUGUUUACUUUCUCUAUACUCAUCAAUUGUGUUCUUUGAAUAAAAUUGUAUGUUUAUGCAUUAAAUUAAAACGUUGUGGGGACAAUAUAUAACACAAAACAACGUAAAUAGUGGAAGUUAAUAAAUAAAUUACCAUGGGAAUGAUAAGAUAUCAUUCAA